GUACAAAAGCCUCCCCCUCCCUCCCCCUAGCUUCCCCCCCAGACACACAAGCCGAGGAGUCCUGCCAGCUCGGCUUGACAGGCGGCGUUGCUAGUCAGGAGCUCGGCUAACCAACGCUACCACUACGGUGCUCCGCGACGACGCCGUGUCCUGAUAGAAGACGCAGCUGUCAAGUCUUGUUUGGAGACGUGAGCUGCUGGCUUUGUAGCGUGUUGUUGUUGCCAAGGAGUUACCGCCACGCCGCCAUUUUUGCGACUGGAUGUCGA